CAUGCAUUAACAACGAUGCUACAGCAGUGAAGUGGUUGAAGGCUCGAUUCAAUGAGAAUAAGCGCAUUGAUACUCGCAUCGCUGAAGAAGCAGACCAAAGUCAAAGUGAUAGUGGUUCAAGGGGCAGUAACAGAAACUAUGGAAUUGACCACAGAUGACACACAUAUAAUGCGUGCUCAUAAUAGAUCAAUA
rnacentral:ribozyme from 1 species